rnacentral:rRNA from 1 species
UACGUAGGGUGCAAGCGUUGUCCGGAAUUAUUGGGCGUAAAGAGCUCGUAGGCGGCUCGUCGCGUCUGCUGUGAAAGCCCCGGGGCUUAACCCCGGGUCUGCAGGUGGGUACGGGCGGGCUAGAGUGCGGGUAGGGGGAGACUGGAAUUCCUGGUGUAGCGGUGAAAUGCGCAGAUAUCAGGAGGAACACCGGUGGCGAAGGCGGGUCUCUGGGCCGAUAUUGACGCUGAGGAGCGAAAGCGUGGGGAGCGA